rnacentral:rRNA from 1 species
CACGUAGGGGGCGAGCGUUGUCCGGAAUCAUUGGGCGUAAAGAGCGUGUAGGCGGCCAGGUAGGUCUGCUGUGAAAACUCGAGGCUCAACCUCGAGAUGUCGGCGGAAACCAUCUGGCUAGAGUCCGGAAGAGGAGAGUAGAAUUCCUGGUGUAGCGGUGAAAUGCGCAGAUAUCAGGAGGAAUACCCGUGGCGAAAGCGGCUCUCUGGGACGGUACUGACGCUGAGACGCGAAAGCGUGGGGAGCAAACAGG